GGGGUUUUACCAUGUUGACCAGGCUGGUCUUGAACUCCUGACCUCAGGUGAUCCAGCUGCCUCAGCCUCCCAAAGUGCCGGGAUUACAGGCGUGAGCCACCCCGCCUGGUCUGUAGCUGUUAUUCUGAGGCUCAUGUGGAGUGAAGGGUGUUCUGCUUCCUUUACCGCCCCCCCCCCCGGAAGUGGAAAUCACUAGAAUUCAGUGCGGGGCCCUAUACCCUAAAGACUGUUUCUGGAUAUGCUAACAAAUUACAAGUUUUCCUAACCUCUCUUUCCAGCCCUGACCAGAGCUCCAGAUCUCUGGGUCCAACUGCCUUGUGGAUCCCUCUCCCUGAAUGUCGCAUAGGAGAGGGGACAGGGGUUGGCCACACACCUGGAAAUGGAGUUCUCUGAUGCAAUGUCCUUUGGGGUCCGGACUGUAGUGAAGGCUCGUCCAGCUCCACGCCCACCCACUGGCCGCUGGCAAACUCCGUGGUCCCACAGAACCGCAGUGUGCCCGUCUGGGGAGAGAAGGGAGGCGAUGGCUGAGGAAGGAAUGCUGGGAGGCCAACGUGGAGUGCUCGCACACAGGCAGCAAGAUGAAGACAUUGAUGCCCAGAGAGGCGGAAUCACUGGCUCCAGGUCCCACAGCUGGGAAGUUGCAAAGCUGAGAUUUACCUGGGCAAGUCCCUGAGCCUGAGCCCAUGACGCUGUGCUAUGCUGCUUCUCUUAGGGGCAGUGAUUGGUAUUCCGUGUCUUCAGAUAAAGGUUUUCACCUGUUG